rnacentral:rRNA from 1 species
GGCUACAGAACGAACGCUGGCGGCAGGCUUAACACAUGCAAGUCGAACGGGCGUAGUAAUACGUCAGUGGCAGACGGGUGAGUAACACGUGGGAACCUUCCUAGGGGUACGGAACAACUCAGGGAAACUUGAGCUAAUACCGUAUACGUCCGUGAGGAGAAAGAUUCAUCGCCCUUAGACGGGCCCGCGUCGGAUUAGCUAGUUGGUGGGGUAACGGCCUACCAAGGCGACGAUCCGUAGCUGAUCUGAGAGGAUGAUCAGCCACACUGGGACUGAGACACGGCCCAGACUCCUACGGGAGGCAGCAGUGGGGAAUCUUGGACAAUGGGCGCAAGCCUGAUCCAGCCAUGCCGCGUGAGUGAAGAAGGCCUUCGGGUUGUAAAGCUCUUUUGUCAGGGACGAUAAUGACGGUACCUGAAGAAUAAGCCCCGGCAAACUUCGUG